rnacentral:rRNA from 1 species
ACACCCCGGGCUUCCCGGCCUCAACCCCCCUAACACCCCAGCGCACCGUCUUAAGAGCUUGCUCUUAUGAAGUUAGCGGCGGAAGGGUGAGUAACACGUGGGUAACCUGCCCAUAAGACUGGGAUAACUCCGGGAAACCGGGGCUAAUACCGGAUAACAUUUUGAACCGCAUGGUUCGAAAUUGAAAGGCGGCUUCGGCUGUCACUUAUGGAUGGACCCGCGUCGCAUUAGCUAGUUGGUGAGGUAACGGCUCACCAAGGCAACGAUGCGUAGCCGACCUGAGAGGGUGAUCGGCCACACUGGGACUGAGACACGGCCCAGACUCCUACGGGAGGCAGCAGUAGGGAAUCUUCCGCAAUGGACGAAAGUCUGACGGAGCAACGCCGCGUGAGUGAUGAAGGCUUUCGGGUCGUAAAAUCUGUUGUUAGGGAAGAACAAGUGCUAGUUGAAUAAGCUGGCACCUUGACGGUACCUAACCAGAAAGCCACGGCUAACUACGUGCCAGCAGCCGCGGUAAUACGUAGGUGGCAAGCGUUAUCCGGAAUUAUUGGGCGUAAAGCGCGCGCAGGUGGUUUCUUAAGUCUGAUGUGAAAGCCCACGGCUCAACCGUGGAGGGUCAUUGGAAACUGGGAGACUUGAGUGCAAAACAGGAAAGUGGAAUUUCCAUGUGUAGCGGGUGAAAUGCGUAUAGAUAUGGAGGAACACCAGUGGCGAAGGCGACUUUC